AUUGAACGCUGGCGGCAGGCCUAACACAUGCAAGUCGAACGAGUGGCGGACGGGUGAGUAAUGUCUGGGAAACUGCGCGAUGGAGGGGGAUAACUACUGGAAACGGUAGCUAAUACCGCAUACCAUCGGAUGUGCCCAUGUGGGAUUAGCUAGUAGGUGGGGUAACGGCUCACCGAGGCCACGAUCCCUAGCUGGUCUGAGAGGAUGACCAGCCAAACUGGAACUGAGACACGGUCCAGACUCCUACGGGAGGCAGCAGUGGGGAAUAUUGCACAAUGGGCGCAAGCCUGAUGCAGCCAUGCCGCGUGUAUGAAGAAGGCCUUCGGGUUGUAAAGUACUUUCAGCGGGGAGGCGUUACUCGCAGAAGAAGCACCGGCUAACUCCGUGCCAGCCGCCGCGGUAAUUC
rnacentral:rRNA from 1 species